CGCGGCCUAUCAGCUUGUUGGUGGGGUAAUGGCCUACCAAGGCGACGACGGGUAGCCGGCCUGAGAGGGUGACCAGCCACACUGGGACUGAGACACGGCCCAGACUCCUACGGGAGGCAGCAGUGGGGAAUAUUGCACAAUGGGCGCAAGCCUGAUGCAGCGACGCCGCGUGAGGGAUGACGGCCUUCGGGUUGUAAACCUCUUUCAGCUCUGACGAAGCCCGCUUGCGGGUGACGGUAGGAGCAGAAGAAGCACCGGCUAACUACGUGCCAGCAGCCGCGGUAAUACGUAGGGUGCGAGCGUUGUCCGGAAUUAUUGGGCGUAAAGAGCUUGUAGGCGGCUUGUCGCGUCUGCUGUGAAAGCCCGGGGCUUAACCCCGGGUCUGCAGUGGGUACGGGCAGGCUAGAGUGUGGUAGGGGAGACUGGAAUUCCUGGUGUAGCGGUGGAAUGCGCAGAUAUCAGGAGGAACACCGAUGGCGAAGGCAGGUCUCUGGGCCAUUACUGACGCUGAGAAGCGAAAGCGUGGGGAGCGAACAGGAUUAGAUACCCUGGUAGUCCACGCCGUAAACGUUGGGCGCUAGGUGUGGGUCCCAUUCCACGGGGUCCGUGCCGCAGCUAACGCAUUAAGCGCCCCGCCUGGGGAGUACGG
rnacentral:rRNA from 1 species